rnacentral:lncRNA from 1 species
GUUCCGCCUCUGAGAGCAAAGUGGUUACUUAAUGGGAGGAGCAAAUUUUUCCUGCAAAAAACUGCUCUAGGCAAAGUGACUUCCAACAAGAGAGGGUAAAAUAACCUGAGCUAGAGUCCAGACAACCAAAUCUGUUAAAGGCAUCUAAAUACUUUAAACAAAUGUGCGGUGAUGAAGCUGGAAAUUAGUCCUCAUCAGAAAUGACCACCUGAGGGCCAAGCUGAUGUUUGGGGAGAUGGAGUAGCUUCUUCCAUCACAGAUAGUGGGACUCUGUGCUGAUGCCAGAUGUACACUGAACAGUACAAGUCAUUUGCAUCAUUUUCAUCAGACAACCUCAUCUAGCAAAAUGGUGAUAACACAAUCUUAUUCUGAAGCCAAAAGAGAGUUAUACAAUCAAUCGUUUUCAGAUAUGCUUUAAAACUGUUCAAAGGUAACAUCAUUAUUUUAAGUUAUAGCACAAUCAUUAAAGGAAAAAAGAACGCAAGAACAAAUGAAAUUCGUUAUUAUUUUAGUUACUUUUAGUGGAAAAAAUAAAACAAGAUUUGGAUUUUCAGCCAGGAUAAAGUAAAAAGACUCUUGUCAGAUGUCAAUUUUCUCAUUAAUGAACUAUUUGAGACUGUACUCCUGGGUCAACUUACUUCUGCUUCUCCUGUCUCUAGACCUGUCUUAAUUAUAUUUGUGUCUCAGGAUCCAUGACAUAGGUUUAAACAGACCCACGGGCAAAUCUAAACACUGGACUGGACAAUGAAUAGUGUCCAGUCUAUUCAUUUCUCUACAAAGUGACAGAAAUUCAGCCUUUAAUCAGAAGUUGAUUCUACCUAAAUUCCUAAUAUAACUAAUAAAAUGUAGUCACCUGGCCAGGCGCGGUGGCUCAUGCCUGUAAUCCCA